UAUUGAAUACUUGAAACAUUCGUCAUCGUUAUUUUUUAUACAUGACUAGGUAAAUCUAAAUAUGUACUUCCUCUUUUAAGAGGAUUAACUUUAUUGAUUCGUAAUUGUGUACACUGUACAAUCUAUAGAUUUAAGUGACCAGUCUGAUUUUUUGGUUUAAACUGUGCUUCCUCAGAUAAUAGUUUGUCAAACAUUUUGUUUAAUAAACUAUUAAAAUCGGAUGAUGUACACGCUAAUACGUUUGAAGUUAUAACCGACAUAUCUUGUACUUCACUCAUUAAAAGUUGUUCAUACGUGCUAUCAACAUGUAAAUUAAAUUAAAUUGUUGACUGCUGGCUUGAUUGUGCUAACCUAGAAAUUAACACUUCAGAAACAUAACUAAAAAAUUCAGGUGGUAGUCUAUUAAUUUUUCCUUGUUCUUAACAAUUAUAAACGUUCUCGAACAGUUUUUAAAUCGUUCAAUUUCAACAAGUUCGCUCUCGGCUGAUUCCAUUCGUCUACGUUUGGUGAUUGUAUUUCUUUUCAUUAUGUAACUAACAUAACAGAAAAUGUAAUCAAAGUACAUUAUCCAACGACAAAUCACAGCCACCGAACGUGAUCGGAUUAGGAUCAUACGAACGCGUUGUAAGGUCAUGGAUAGUGGUAUGCGAAGUGGGCAGCAACGAGGGUGUGAUUCACCCACAGCACUGGAACUUUUGCCGUCUACGCACAUACACCUAACGUGCGCGUACCGUACAAUCACUUCUGUGGUACAUAAUUCUUACCCGACGGCUGAAACGUACAAGUUAUACACAACAAUUAUUAUACGCCGUUGUGGUACGUGUCGAGCUCGAAUUUUUACGAAUAUACUUUCUGUUAUAUUAAAUAUUUAAAUCACAUUAUAUUAUUUAAAACAUUAUAAUAAUAUAUCUAUAGUCUAUACCUAUUACUGUUAAUGAUAGAUUAAUAAUAUUAUAUUAAUAGCUAAGUCUUAGAAUAGUUUUAGUCUAUAUUCAAAGAUUAUUCUAAUUGUCUAAACAGCGAAUUUAAAGAAUUGUGAAUUUGCAUUUAUAAAAUGAAUAUUGUGAUUGUACGUAGUUAA